UUUUUUUUGUUUUUUUUGCGGUACGCGGGCCUCUCACUGUUGUGGUCUCUCCAGUUGCGGAGCACAGGCUCCGGAUGCGCAGGCUCAGCGGCCAUGGCUCACAGGCCUAAACGCUCUGCGGCAUGUGGGAUCUUCGCGGACCGGGGCACGAACCCGUGUCCCCUGCAUCGGCAGGCGGACUCUCAACCACUGCGCCGCCAGCUGAAGGACAGAACUCCUAGAAAAGGGUGGAGCCAAAAGCCGGAAGGAGUCUGGAUCCCUGAAUGACUGUCCCUCUCCCCACUGAACUGCAAUGCACCAUGGGAUGAACACCUGUUUCUCCUUGUCUUCCAAUUGACAAUAGUAACCAUCUCAACCAAAAGUUGAAGAGAGACAGAAGUAAAAAGAGAAAGGAGUAGCUAAAAGAAGACCAGAGCAAAAGGUUGAGGGGAGAUCCCAAAGAUGAGGUAAAGAAGAGAGCAGUG